UCCAGCCUCUCAUUCCCAGUCUGUCUGUCCAUCUGGGGUUGCCCCAUCCCAGGGGCAGAAUCCGGCACUUCCUCUUGUUGAACUUCCCAUGGUUGGUGAUUCCCAGCCCUUGGAUCUGUCCAGGUCUCUGCAAUUUCACCAUGAGAUCCCAGAACUACACAGGCCAUGCUGCCUGGGGCGUGUUCCCAGGCAGAAAUCUGUUCUACAAACCAGACUUACGGGUCAGUACAAGGCAUGAGCAUGUCCUUUCACACUACCUGAAGUGUCCAAGUCUCCUCCUAUUUUGUUCUCCUGGUGAUUUAAUUGUAUUCAGUGGAGCUGUGCAGGGUUUGGUUCUGUCAACACUAACAGUGGAGCUACACGCAGUAAGUGUAUUUUUUAUUUUGACUUGCUUGAUUUAUUUACAUAUUAUUAUAGAGGUUUUUUUACAGUGCUGUAUAACAACUUUUAACACAUAACUGUCUCUGAAGAUCAGACAUUUCAUUUGAAAUUUCCUACAGAUGAAGUUUGUAGAUUAAGAGCAUAAAGGCACAAAAGACUGGUAAGAAUCUCAGCAUUAAAGCUAAUAUGUCUUACCAGAUGGCAGGAAUUUUAGACAGACUGUGAAAUAGGAAGUUCACACUUCCUAAUAUGAACAGGGCAUGAAAACAUGCAGUUCAACAGAGGGUGUAAUAACCAAUGCAGAAUAAAGGGGAAACUUUUCAGGAGUAGAAAAUAUGGAGUGUAGAUAUCCAUUGUGACAUUGUACAUUAAAAUUAUUUUCUUGAAGGUAUAAAUGCAAUAUUUAUCCCGAGUAUUCUAUUUUUAUUUUGUGAGUUCUAACUGUUAUGAAAGAUGGUAGUAUGAGCAACUAUUUAGUAAAGUCCUAUGUAAAUCAGCAUAGAAUAAAUGUAUUCAGUUAUAUUUAUGAUUUUCCCAUUGAUUUUACAUAUAUGUCAAAAGUGCUUUCCAAGACCUACAUUGAAUAGGAAGGGAAGGAAAUCAGUGCACUGUUUAAACAAAAAAUGUAACAAUAUUGUUUAAGAUAGGAAACCAGUUUUGAAAUGUAUUAGGAGUGCAACUGGAUGUCACAGGCUGUAGGAGGAAGAAAUCAUUAGCUUGGAAAAAAAGCAGCACUAGCACAAUAGCCAUGGGCAGAUGUUAAUGAGGAUAUGCCAAUCAGCAAGGUGUGGGAUAAGAUUAGGAGGAUGAAUGGUAGUAAUAAAAUCCCACAAGAGUGUGUUGUCUUGUUAAAGGAAAAAGCUAAUUUACAAGAGUUUGUUUCUGUUAAUCAGGUAGAGAUAUGUUUAGGAAAAGGAAAUGUGGGGAAAAUCAGGGUGAUUUUGGAAAACAGGCUUGAGCACUAAUGUCCUAUUGUAUCAGCAGUGAUUUUCCCUUUGUGGUUACUAAUUACUGUGAAUGCUGUCAGGACAGCACGUGGAAGUGCAGGGAGAACAGCAGGAGUGUUGCACUGAUGUUUGGGCUGUAUCUGUGAGUUGGGGGGAGCAGGAAUGGAAAUGCAGGGUUAGAUGGAGCAGUGUGGUACAGUUUGUACAGUAUGUCACAGCCCUCGUGGCUCCAAGCCUGACCCCUCUUGCUGCCUGGAUGUUUGACAAUGCAGGCAUACAUGGAGGCAAAUAGGACUUCUAAAAAUACAUUUCACAAAUCAUCCAGUCCAGCUGUCAGGGGGGGGAACAGUCCCUUUGUCCUGCAGCCCUGGACAACUAAAAUCCCAUUUGAGACAAAUGAAAUUUAGUUAUUUGCUGCCCGACAGGAAAAGCUGCUGACUUGUGCUUUAUAGGCCUCAACACACUGACCAACCAUUGUGUCCAACCUGAGGCUUAAAACACGAGCUGGCCUCUUGCCCAGUGGCUUUGUAAACACCACCAAAUGGCAAAAGCAGUGUGUGGGCAGAGCCCCCAGCCUGCUGUUUGGAACAAUUCCUGCCCGGUACCUCCACAGGGUCAGUCCCACUUUGGAAAGGAUGAACAUGACUGACUAUAUAUGGCCACCUAAAAAUAAAAAUAGGGACGAGCACCUUUUCUUGUCAGACAUAUCAGAGAUCCAGGUCACCUUAAAAAAUCCUAGGCUGCAAACCAUACUGGCUAUAGGGAAAAUAAAUAAAUAUAUAUAUAUAUGAAUCUCUUAGUCCUCCAUGGAUCCAGUUUUGAUGGAACCAAAUGGAGGCCGUUGACUCCAACUGACAUUGGAUGUGUCCCAUGACCUUCUGGUUUAUAUAUUUAGACUCCCCAUACUAAUCUUCUCUUCUACAGGUCUGAUGUCAUCACCAUUAUUAUAAGCAGAACUUGUCACUUGAUUGACAGCAAAUAACCUUUUCCAAAAAGUAGCCAAGGAGUAAGAAUGUUUUGUCAGGGUGACAUAUGAUCAUGGCUGCCUGCAGUCCAUUUUUGUUUGCAGGCAGUGGAAGAAUGUCAGAUAUUUAUAAGGUCAGUGUCCCUAGUCCAGAGAUGAAGGAGAUGUGUUUGUUUUUUAAUUGCUGUUCUGCUUAAAAAACCGAUUUCCAGUUGGGCUGAAAUGAAGGACUGGACUCAUUGACUGGACUGAAGUAAAUGUUUUACCUGUUGCAACCAGCUGGCUGGGCCCAGGAAUGGGGUGCUCUGACUGCACACACAAAGGGGUCACUGGCAGUUCAUAUUUUUGCUUUAGGAAGUCAAAUACUUAAAUAUAUAUAUAAUUUUUUUUUUACUGUCUGGUGAUUCAGAUGUCUGGGAUCUCAUUUUGCUUGUUUUCUUGAAAACUUUUCACGAAAGGGAAUCAGCUUGCAAAACCACAAAAAUGUACUUCUCAGCCAGCUGUGGUAAAAUGGUUUACAUGGCCAUCUCAGUACUGGAGAAGUUUUUGUAGUUAAAAAAUUUAUUCUGAUGAGCAGUAAGUGAUAAUGAAUUAUUAGCAAGGCAAUAGCAGUUGGCUUAGAAGUGUUCAAGGUAUGCAUCAAAUGUGGAGGUGCUGAGAGAGAAUAUUUGUAAGACAAAAGAACUGUUGACAUUUGGUCAUACUAGAACUUAGAUUAUUGUUUUAAAACAGACAUGCUGUAAAUGUGGGAAUGAGAACCAGACUGAAUUUUUUUUUACUUAGAAAAGAGUGUAGCAUUUAAGUAGAUGCCACUGUAAGGUUGUGACAAAGAGUAAAAUGUAGUUCUGUGUAGCUGACCCAGCUUAUUAAUAGCAUAUUGAGAACUUCUAAUGUUAUAGAGUCUAAAUACUCUUUAAGAAGAAGUGGAACAAAAUUUAGAAUUAAUUCUAGAACAUUUAUAAACAGGUAUAGAAAAAUAGUGUCCCUUCUACUAAGUGUUAGAAAUUAGGGGCUACCUGCCAAAUGAUGUUGUGCUUGUUUGACCUUGUCCAGCUGAUUGCAUUAAGGUGUUAUAUAUGUUUCAGAUAACAGAAUUUGGCUUUUUUGGUGUCUUAUAUUGGACAUGAAAUUCUUAUUUUAAUUUAUUUUAACUUACGUUUAUAUAAAUGCACCAAAAAACCCAUAUAUGUUUAUAAAUAUAUAUAAAUAUUUAAAGUACUUAGAAAGAAGCCUAAAUGAUAGUUUUAAAGAAUUUCCAUGUUCCUGCAACACAGGAUUGUUUCAGUGGGACUGGAUAGCAGCUGCUAUUGCAUUGCCUUAGUUUUUGUUAGGGCACUGUAACAAAGGCAACUAAAUUUCAAUUGCCUUAGUGGUGCUGUCACUACCUUUUGCCUGUAAAGAUUUUUUUGUAUUUUAGGAAACUGCCAAAUAAGGAGUAAUUUUGUAAUGGAGAACAUGGAAUUACGAAAGUAGGUUGAACAGAAGGGUAACAGAGAAACAUUCUCAGUCUGCAGAACGGGGAUUUUAAGGAGAGAUACUGGCAAAAGAAUCAGGCUCAUCUGAUCUGCUCAGGAAAAAAUGUCAGCCUGAAGGGAAGUGUCUUCUAGAACAAAAUCUACAUUUCCAGAGAACUUCCUUAAACUGAAACAAGCUGCAAGAUGGGCUCGUUUCUUAAAAUGUGAACUUGGAUGAGAUAUUCUUAUUAUGCUUUCACUGAUGCAAAUUCGUUAAAUAGCAAUAAAUCUUGAGAGAUUACGUUUAUAACAGAA